UUGUUUUGGCACCACAUAUACUAAAAUUGAGACAGUACACAGAGAACAGAAUGGCCCCUGUGCAAAGAUGACAUGCAAAUCUGUGAGGCAUUCCAUAUUUUU